rnacentral:rRNA from 1 species
GAUAAACGCUUGCGGCGUGCCUUAUGCAUGCAAGCCGAACGGUCCUUUAGUUUUCGGAUUAGAGGAUAGUGGCGAAUGGGUGAGUAACGCGUAAGUAACCUGCCCCCAAGUAGAGAAUAACUCCGAGAAAUUGGAGCUAAUACUUUAUGUGGUGGUCGAGGUAAGGCUCGAUCACUAAAGCCUUAGGGCGCUCGGGGAGGGCUUGCGUCUGAUUAGCUAGUUGGUAGGGUAACGGCUUACCAAGGCCAUGAUCGGUAGCUGGUUUGAGAGGAUGGUCAGCCACACUGGGACUGAGACACGGCCUAGACUCCUACGGGAGGCAGCAGCAAGGAAUAUUGUGCAAUGGGCGAAAGCCUGACACAGCGACGUCGCGUGGGGGAUGACAGCUUUCGGGUUGUAAACCCCUUUUCUCAGGGAAGAAUAAUGACGGUACCUGAGGAAUAAGUCUCGGCUAACUACGUGCCAGCAGCCGCGGUAAUACGUAGGAGGCGAGCGUUAUCCGGAUUUACUGGGCGUAAAGAGGGCGUAGGCGGUUCUUCAAGUCGGAUGUAAAAUCUCCCGGCUUAACUGGGAGGGACCAUUCGAUACUGUCGGGCUAGAGGGCAGCAGAGGGAGGUAGAAUUCCCGGUGUAGUGGUGAUAUGCGUAGAUAUCGGGAGGAAUACCAGUGGCGAAGGCGGCCUCCUGGGCUGUUUCUGACGUUGAGGCCCAAAAGCGUGGGGAGCAAACAGGAUUAGAUACCCUGGUAGUCCACGCUGUAAACUAUGGACACUAGGUAUAGGGAGUAUCGACCCUCUCUGUGCCGAAGCUAACGCAUUAAGUGUCCCGCCUGGGGACUACGGCCGCAAGGCUA